AUGCACGCUGACAGAAUGCUUCACACAUGCCAGUCAACUUGAAUUUGGGUUUUUAACUUAGGUUUGGGUGGCGGACGGGUGAGUAACGCGUAAAGAACUUGCCUCACAGCUAGGGACAACAUUUGGAAACGAAUGCUAAUACCUAAUAUUAUGAUAAUAGGGCAUCCUAUAAUUAUGAAAGCUAUAAGCGCUGUGAGAGAGCUUUGCGUCCCAUUAGCUAGUUGGAGAGGUAACGGCUCACCAAGGCGAUGAUGGGUAGCCGGCCUGAGAGGGUGAUCGGCCACAAGGGGACUGAGACACGGCCCUUACUCCUACGGGAGGCAGCAGUGGGGAAUAUUGGACAAUGGACCGAGAGUCUGAUCCAGCAAUUCUGUGUGCACGAUGAAGUUUUUCGGAAUGUAAAGUGCUUUCAGUUGGGAAGAAACAAAUGACGGUACCAACAGAAGAAGUGACGGCUAAAUACGUG
rnacentral:rRNA from 1 species